rnacentral:rRNA from 1 species
AAGUCGUAACAAGGUUUCCGUAGGUGAACCUGCGGAAGGAUCAUUAUUGAACGAAACCACUGGCUAGAUGCUGUUGUGCUGGCCCUUUGGGGCAAUGUGCACACCUCUGGUCAUUUGUUUCUUCUGUUCCACCUGUGCACUGCCUGUAGACACACUCUGUGUCUAUGAUAAUGUUUACACACACAUGUAAUACAAGAUAUUGGAGUAUAUAUAAUAAAGUACAACUUUCAACAACGGAUCUCUUGGCUCUCGCAUCGAUGAAGAACACAGCGAAAUGUGAUAAGUAAUGUGAAUUGCAGAAUCCAGUGAAUCAUCGAAUCUUUGAACGCAUCUUGCGCUCCUUGGCAUUCCAAGGAGCAUGCCUGUUUGAGUGUCGUUAAACUAUCAAAACACUUUUCUUUGGGUGUUUUGGACUUUGGGAGCAACUUUGCUGGUCUUGUCUGAGCCAGCUCUCCUCAAAAGCAUUAGCUUUGGAGACCAUCAGUGUGAUAAUUUGUUUACGCUGACUCGAGUGUCUCGGCUUCUCCUUUUCAAAUGCCCCUUUGACCUCAAAUCAGGUAGGACUACCCGCUGAACUUAA